GACGAACGCUGGCGGCGUGCUUAACACAUGCAAGUCGAACGGAAAGGCCCUGCUUGCUGGGUACUCGAUUGGCGAACGGGUGAGUAACACGUUGUUUAUCUUCCCUGCACUUCUGGAUAAUCCUUUGUAACUGGGUCUAAUACCGUUUAGGAGCCAUUUUUUGUUUGAUUGUUGGAAAGUUUUUUCGGUGUAGGAUGAGCUCGCGGCCUAUCAGCUUGUUUGUGGGGUAAUGGCCUACCAAGGCUGCGACGGGUAGCCGGCAUGAGAGGGUGGACUGCCACAAUGGGAGUGAGAUACGGCCCAGACUCCUACGGGAGGCAGCAGUGGGGAAUAUUGCACAAGGGGCGAAAGACUGAUGCAGAGACGCAGCGUGGGGGAUGACGGAAUUCGGGUUGUAAACACCUUUCGCUAGGGACGAAGCUUUUUGUGACGGUACCUAGAUAAGAAGCACCGGCUAACUACGUG
rnacentral:rRNA from 1 species